AUCUAGGUGACGAGUCCCAAAUAGGGCGAAACGUACAUCAAACUGGAU
rnacentral:hammerhead_ribozyme from 1 species